rnacentral:rRNA from 1 species
GAUGAACGCUAGCUACAGGCUUAACACAUGCAAGUCGAGGGGAAACGACAUCGAAAGCUUGCUUUUGAUGGGCGUCGACCGGCGCACGGGUGAGUAACGCGUAUCCAACCUGCCCACCACUUGGGGAUAACCUUGCGAAAGUAAGACUAAUACCCAAUGACGUCUCUAGAAGACAUCUGAAAGAGAUUAGAGAUUUAUCGGUGAUGGAUGGGGAUGCGUCUGAUUAGCUUGUUGGCGGGGUAACGGCCCACCAAGGCGACGAUCAGUAGGGGUUCUGAGAGGAAGGUCCCCCACAUUGGAACUGAGACACGGCCCAAACUCCUACGGGAGGCAGCAGUGAGGAAUAUUGGUCAAUGGGCGAGAGCCUGAACCAGCCAAGUAGCGUGCAGGAUGACGGCCCUAUGGGUUGUAAACUGCUUUUAUAAGGGAAUAAAGUGAGUCUCGUGAGACUUUUUGCAUGUACCUUAUGAAUAAGGACCGGCUAAUUCCGUGCCAGCCGCCGCCGUAA